CAGUCGCCACGGUAACACGUAGGGUGCGAGCGUUAAUCGGAAUUACUGGGCGUAAAGCGUGCGCAGGCGGUUAUGUAAGACAGUUGUGAAAUCCCCGGGCUCAACCUGGGAACUGCAUCUGUGACUGCAUAGCUAGAGUACGGUAGAGGGGGAUGGAAUUCCGCGUGUAGCAGUGAAAUGCGUAGAUAUGCGGAGGAACACCGAUGGCGAAGGCAAUCCCCUGGACCUGUACUGACGCUCAUGCACGAAAGCGUGGGGAGCAAACAGGAUUAGAUACCCCUGUAGUCCCUGUCUCUUAUAC
rnacentral:rRNA from 1 species